CUACCUUUGUUGCUUUGGCGGACCCGAGAGCCUCUCGCACCGACUCUUGGGCCGGCGAGUGUCCGCCAGAGGCCCAUUUAAUUCUAUUUAUCAGGGGAGUCCGAGUUCAAACACAAUGAAUAAAAACUUUCAACAACGGAUCUCUUGGUUCCAGCAUCGAUGAAGAACGCAGCGAAAUGCGAUAAGUAAUGUGAAUUGCAGAAUUCAGUGAAUCAUCGAAUCUUUGAACGCACAUUGCGCCCCUCGGCACUCCGGGGGGCAUGCCUGUUCGAGCGUCAUUGCACCCCUCAAGCGCAGCUUGGUAUUGGGCCCUCGCCCCCGCGGCGUGCCCGAAAACCAGUGGCGGUCUGGCGUGGCUUUAAGCGUAGUAAAAUCUUCCCGCUCUGAAGCACCCACCGUGGCCGGCCAGAGAACCCCAUUUACUUCUAUAAUUGACCUCGGAUCAGGUAGGGAUACCCGCUGAACUUAA
rnacentral:rRNA from 1 species